UUCCUGAUCUCUAAAGAGACUCAAACUUCCUCCUUCAGCUCAGCUCAACUCUCCAACAUUACCUCUGCUCAACAUGCUGUCUCUGCUCACAUCUGGAUUCACUCUGCUGGUUCUGAUCACUGGAUCAGGUGUAAACUGUCAACAACUCACUGCAGCGAAGACUGAGGAGUUCAGUUCAGAGGGCAGCUCUGUUACUCUGACCUGCAGUUACUCUAAAGCUGCUGUUUAUGAUGAUUAUUUCUUCUGGUAUCGACAAUAUCCUGGAAAACCUCCAGACUUCCUGAUCUCCCACUCAGGAACAGGAACUAAACUCCAGGAUCCGGCUCCUGGUUUCUCCUUCAACAUCAAUGCUGAUAAAACCCAGAUGGAUCUGCUGAUCUCCUCUGCUGCAGUGACAGACUCUGCUGUGUACUACUGCGCUGUGAAGCCCACAGUGACAGGAAACACCAGACCCCUGUACAAAAACCUGCAGUACUCCACAGCAGCCACUGGAGGGCCUCACUCCCUGUUAAACCACAGACAGCCAACAUUUAAACCAUGAGGCUGUUUGUGAACAAGCAGCAGAUCACUUUUUAAAUGAUGACGAAGGCCAUAUGCUGAGCUGAGGAUGCUGCCUGGACCCCAUGAAGAGAUGCAGAGACUGUAGAUCUUUGGGAAACUCUGGACUGGCUUUGUUUCCUCCAGAUUGUGCUCCGGUCUGUAAAAUGGGCUUGUGUUUAAUAAAAAUGUUCUUUUAAUUCA